CUUUUUCACUUGGAACGUACGACAGUGUGGACGUCUUGAGUCGUCUUGCGUCUUGUCCAAUAUUUAAUUCAGUUACCGGCAAACUAUUGUUAUCUGUGACAACACCGUUGCACCGAUUACCCUAGUCAUGGUCAUUAUGAGCCCCUGUUGCAGCUUGAAAUUGGUUGAGCUACCUAGAACAUUCCUUACUGUGGAGUUUAUGUGGAAGAUCAUUGCAUUGCAACUUGAACCAAGAUGAAAGUCACUUAGAAGAUUAUUCUGGUGCUUUUGAAGUCAUUAUGUCGCCAUCAUCACUAUGAUACUAGCAGUGCAAGCUAUCUUCGCAUCCAAAUUCUGCCAGCCACAUUGGAUAUUGUCCCCCUACCUAGCUGGAGGGCACCCUGUUUGCCUAGACCUGGUCUCCACUCCAGAACAUUCAGUUAUUGGAUCUGCGUUAACAGUUCAGAUUGCUUAUUCAAGUCAAAAUCGAUCGUUUCGUUCAAAAGGAGUCUUUGAAAGUCGAAGUAAUUAUUAUUUAUAUUUAUAAUUUAUAUAUAAAAAAGUAUUUAUUUCAGCAGGUACUUUUGAAUUGUUAAAAAAAAUAGAAUCUGUCAGUCUGUGUCUCGGUCGUUCCAAGGUGUAGUUUUGAUUAUAGAUCAAGCAAGAGACUUAUCAUUACUCUUUUAAAAAAGUGUCGUUGACCAGUCCUAUUAGUGAAGGUAUUUACUUUUUCCAGCGUUGUGUUCUAUGGAGAAGAAUGAGAAUGAAAGACAAUUAAAAAAAUUAAUUAUAUAUUAUGUAUAAUAUUCGUAUGUCUCUGGGCAAAACAUGAAGAAACCUGUAAUACUUCACAUUAUCUAUGUUUACAAAUAAAAAUUUUGAUUCUGAUUCUGUAGUGUCGUUGGUCAGUCCUCUUAGUGAAGCUAUUUGCUUUUUCCAGCGUUGUGUUCUUUGGAGAAGAAUGAGAAUGGAUCUCAAUCGUUACUCUUUAAAAAAGUGUCAUUGGUCAGACUUAUAGUUUUGCACUUUCCAGCAUUGUGUUCUAUAGAAAAUGAUUACACCUUUUCAACCAUUUGCAUAAUCUCUGGUUAUAUUAUUAAUAAUCUGAAACAUAGAUAAAAGAUACGAAAAAUAAUAAUAAAUAGUCAGUGUGUUUGUUGAAAUGUACAAAUUUGGUGUCUUGCAAGUCCCGAGUGGACAGGUUGGUCAUUUAUUUAUUUAUUUAUUUACAUAUUUAUUAUUCAUAAACCCAUACAUAAGUAGGCAUGCUUCAUCGUCGUUUUUUUCUUCUCUUAUAAUAUCUUCUGAUUCACUUCGUUGCGGGUACCAAGACAGUUGUUCAU